UACGUAGGUGGCAAGCGUUAUCCGGAAUUAUUGGGCGUAAAGCGCGCGCAGGUGGUUUCUUAAGUCUGAUGUGAAAGCCCACGGCUCAACCGUGGAGGGUCAUUGGAAACUGGGAGACUUGAGUGCAGAAGAGGAAAGUGGAAAUUCCCAUGUGUAGCGGGUGAAAAUGCGUAGAGAUAUGGAGGAACACCAGUGGCGAAGGCGACUUUCUGGUCUGUAACUGACACUGGAGGCGCGAAAGCGUGGGAGCAAACAGG
rnacentral:rRNA from 1 species